rnacentral:lncRNA from 1 species
UGAACACAAGAAAAUUAAAAUAAUAAAAAAGGGAGCUAAUACACGAUACAUAAUUGCCUAAGUAAUCGAGUCAAUGAAAUAUUUUUUUUAAAAAUUAUUUAUUUUAUAAGAAAAAUGUAUUCAAGAGAAUACAUAGAGAUACUCAACCCUAAUAGAGAAAAAAAAACGAAAUCCCACGAAUAAACAAGAGGAAAAAAAAUCCCUAAAC